GACGAACGCUGGCGGCGUGCUUAACACAUGCAAGUCGAACGGAAAGGCCUCUUUCGGGGGGUACUCGAGUGGCGAACGGGUGAGUAACACGUGAGUAACCUGCCCUUGACUUUGGGAUAACUUCAGGAAACUGGGGCUAAUACCGGAUAGGAGCUCCUGCUGCAUGGUGGGGGUUGGAAAGUUUCGGCGGUUGGGGAUGGACUCGCGGCUUAUCAGCUUGUUGGUGGGGUAGUGGCUUACCAAGGCUUUGACGGGUAGCCGGCCUGAGAGGGUGACCGGCGACAUUGGGACUGAGAGACGGCACAGACUCCUACGGGAGGCAGAAGUGGGGAAGAUUGCACAAUGGGUGGAAGCCUGAUGCAGCAACGCCGUGUGCGGGAUGACGGCCUUCGGGUUGUAAAACGCUUUCGCUCAUGACGAAGCUUUGUGUGACGGUAGUGGGUAAAGAAGCACCGGCUAACUACGUG
rnacentral:rRNA from 1 species